ACUCCUGUAGCCCAAUUGGCAGAGGCCGCAGUUUCAAAAAUUGUGUUGUGUGAGUUCAAAUCUCACCAGGAGUACCA
rnacentral:tRNA from 1 species